UAGCAAGGGUUAGAGGACGUAAAACACAAGCAGAAAAAGAGCUAAAUCGAAACCUUAUUACCAGACUAAUAACAGAAGGCUAAGUUUUAGUUGCAUUUUGCAGAGAAUGAAGACCUUUCAGAAAGGUUUUUUAAAAAUCCUGGACUUUACUAAAACUAAUUAAUGUUCAAGAUGGAUGCUUUAAAACUGGACUGAAUAGCAUUUCUAAAACUAUGAUAGACAUCUACAUUCCUAGUCAGUUCUUGAGAUAAGAACCAGUGAACCUGUUGCCUUAAUAACUUAGUUUAACAUUUUUGGACCACAGUACCUCACAGCACAAUAGUUGUCCAUACUCGCUAAGGUUUGCCAAGGAGUGGUUCUUCAGGAGAAUAUACCAAAAUUCAUUUCUUAUAGGUGACAGAUAGGUAGACAUGACAGAUGUUAAGAUUUUAAUUAAUGAUUGAAAUCUGAGAAACUAGCAGUCUAUUAAUAGUAAUGAUAAAAUGGGGUUUCUCUUUCUUUUAACUUUUAUAAAUGCAAGGAUGGUUUAAUAUUUAAGAUCUAUUCCUUCCCACUUUUCCCAUCAUGAUAUGAUGUACGACCAGAAUCCUGGCCUGCACCCUUAAGUUCUGCAUACUGAGUCAGUCAUGAAGUCAGGGGGCUGUAUGUGUUUCCCUUCUUUUGGUUUUGCUGGUGUGAGAUUAUUUUCUGUGUUUUCACAUGUGUAGGUUUUCUUAAGUUGGAGCUUUCUUUCUACUGGCUGGAUUUGUAGAUAUAUAUUCUACGAAUUUGACUUUAUCAUGUAAUACCUUAUUUUUUUCCAUCUAUAAUAAUUGAAGGUUUUCUGUGUAUUGUAGUUUGGGCUGGAAUCUGUAUCAAUUGACAUAAAAAGGUACUAAAUAAUCUUAUACCAGGAAAAUCAAAAGACAGGAAAUGCACACACACACACACAAACACACCACCACCACCAUCAUCAUCAAAACAACAACAACAUAACAGCAAUUGACAGUCUUCGGUCCUUAUUAUUUCUCAGUGUCAGUGGACUCAGAUAGAUACCAUACACUCUCUUAGAGUCUGCAGGACAUCUGUGCUGGUUGUUCUGACUCUUAGAGUCUCAGCUGAGAAGCAGAGUGUAGUGCUUAUAGGUCUACCUUUACAUGUUACUCCAUCUGUUCUCCUAGCUGCUUUAAUGUUCCUUCUUGGUUCUAUAUACUUAUUAUGAGUUAAGGAGACUUUCUUUUCUGUUCCAAUCUCUGGUAUUCUGUAAGCUUCAUAUACCUUGAUAGCUAUCUCUUUCUUUAGGUUAGAAUAAUUGCCUUCUGUGAUUUUGUUGUAAAUGUUUUCUGGGCCUUUGAGCAGUGAUUAUUCUCCUUCCUAUUAUUCUUAGACUUGGUCUUUUAAUAGUGUCCCAGAUGUCCUGGAUGUUUUGUGUCAGCAAUUUUCAGAUUUAACAUUUUCUUUGACCAGUGUGUCUAUUCUUAUAGCAAAUAUUCUUCAGUGCCUGAGAUUCUUUCAUCUUUUGUAUUCCAUAGGUGACGCUUGCAUCUAUAAUUCUUGUUCAGAUCUCUAGAUAUUCUGUCUCCAGAAUUCCCUUAGUUUGUAUUAUCGUUAUUACUACAAUUUCUAUUUUCAGGUCUUAAAUAUUUAUAGUCAUUUCUUUCAACUGUUUGUUUUUCUAAAUUUCUCUGAAAGCUUUAUUCAUUUCCUUCAAGAUUUUGUUUUUCCUUUCCUUUUUGGGGCUUUUAAAAUUUGUUUUUGUUGUUGUUUUGUGGGGGUUGCUUUUGUUGCUUUACUUUCUUUGUUUUUGUUUGUUUGGGAUAUUUUUGGUUUUUUAUUUUGGUUUUUGUUGUUGAUGUUGUUUGUUUGGGGUUUUGUUUGUUUGUUUGAGACAGGGUUUCUCUGUGUAGCCCUUGCAGAGCUGGAAAUCUCUCUGUUGAGCAGACUGGCCUUGAACUCCCAGAGAUCAGCCUGCUUUUCCCUCCUGAGGGAUGGAAUUAAAAGCCUGUUCCGCCAUGCCUGGCCUUUCUUUGAUUUUUUUUUUUUAACAGAUUUAUUCAUUUGUUCUUUUUGAAUGUUAUCAGCGUCAUAGAGUUGAUUUUAAGGUCUUCUGCUGCUCCAGUGAUUCUGGAAUACUGAAGACUUGCUAUGGUUGGAUUUCUGGGCUCUGUUGGCGAUAUAUUGCCCUCGCUAUUGUUUUGUUCUUCGCUGGCAUCUGGACAUCUUAGUACGGUCUCAUUAUUGGUCUCGGUGUCCAUUUCUGGGUAUGACUUUCUUGGGUGGGAAUUUUAUUCCUUGGUUUCUGUUUCCUCUCUAGUCUUCUGGCCUGUGUAGCCUGUGGUUGAGCAGGGGGCUCUCCACCUGAGUUGGGAACUUCUGGUGGCCACAAUAGAUGGAACUUCACAAAUUUUCAUUUUAUCUUUGUACAGAGGCUAUGCUAACCUUCUCAGCACCAUUCCACUCUUCUUAUAUGUGCUGCUGAAGUAGGCUCUGCAGAGAAUUUUUUAAGACAUGAUAUUCACGACCAAAAGAGAUUAAAUCGCAUUGAUUUCGAUCUAGCCUUUCUACAGAAUGGCAUACUUUCAAGACUUUCAGCUCAUGCAUGCAAAGUGUCUUCAGGUGCAUACUGAUUUCUAAGCAGGCAGAUCUCACAGGGAACUCAGCCCUGAUCAUUUUAAUUUCACCAGCAAUGAGCACACAGCAGUGUUCCCUGCUCUUUGCUCCCUUUAAGAGGUUCUGUUAGCAUGAUUCUAUCUUGUUUAGCAAGAAUUCAGAAAAGAAGCCUAGAUUGUCUUUGAGGUCUUGACCCUUGAAUGUGAUUCCAUGGGAUAGAGUUUUCUGAAUAAUUUUCCAUUAUCAUGUUUACCAUAUAUAAUAUUCAUAUUUUCUCACAGGAAGAUUAUUGUUUCUGGAAGCCUCAAUGAAUUGGAUUAAUGGAGAAUGACUCAUUUAUCAAUUAUUUGAUUCCUUUAGAAAGCAUCAUUGGGUACUAGCUAUAUAAUAGUCUGUUGUUAGCUAAAAAUAUCUCAGAUUUGGUACCCAACUCUGUUGUAAAGGAAGGUGGUGCUGGCAGCAGUGGCCUGCCGUGGUCCAGGCAUCCCUUGCUACCAUCAUAAUCUCCUGUUGAAAGCACAGCUACAUGUUUCAAUCACUCUCUUCAAUAUGUUGGAAAUUUUUUAAAAUAAACACUUUUAAAACUAAUCUUGUCUCAUAGUUAUUCUCAAAUGGGAAUAUGAAAUUGCAUUCAUCUGAAUGGAAGCCAGUGGACUUUGUUGGAAUCCAAAAAGCCGUCUCCUUCUGGAAAUGUUAGAAUCUUUUGAUUUCAUCAUUCCUCCACAGAAUUAAUUUCUAAGAUUCUCUACUCAGAAAAGCAGAGAGACAGUAAGACUUUUUCUAAUUACUCAUCAGCAAGGCUGGGCCCAAACUUGAAUUCAGCAACAUCUGCAUGGCUGGACAAACCAAGAUCAUUCUCCUUUCAUGAGCUGCCAGGCCUCUAAAUAUUGUCUCUUCAUCAUGGCUAUAUUCUUUCUUGAUAGAUUCUAUUAACUUUAUUACCAUGUUUUUUACUUUUCAAACAUGAUAUGUAUCUGGGAUAAGAUAUUUUGAAUUUUCACUUGGGUCUCCAACAUAUAUCAGAUCAAGUUUCACUUCUGUUGAAAGAUAAAGCAAAAACACAACG
rnacentral:lncRNA from 1 species